rnacentral:lncRNA from 1 species
AAACAAGAUUUAAUGAGAGUCUCCAUCCCCAAAGUAAAGCUUAAGCCAACAGUUGUGGGAAGAACAAUAUUGGAUUUUGGAUUCUAUAGCUCAGAGAACCACCAAGGUCCUCAUCUUUAGUUACUAGCUGUCUGACGUUGGGUACUGCCUGAUCCCUGAGUCUUCUGUCUGGAGUUCCUCCUUGCAGAUACCUUCUUUGGAGCCAUUUGCAGGCAGUUUCCAGGCUUCAAAACUGGCCCAUCCUAUCAGAACCCUUCUGCUCAGAGUUCCUUUCCCGCAAAGUAGUCUGCUUUCUCAGAUGUUAAUAGAUUCUGAUAGCUUAGGAUAUCAUCCUUUAAGACGCAUCCAUUAAAUGCAUGUGCCCUUUAAUAAAAUGCCUUAGCUGAGAGAAGUCGAUCUCCA